rnacentral:rRNA from 1 species
GACGAACGCUGGCGGCGUGCCUAACACAUGCAAGUCGAGCGGGGUUGAGGCGAGAGGUAACUCGAACUUCUACCUAGCGGCGGACGGGUGAGUAACGCGUGGGCAACCUGCCUCAAGGUUUGGGAUAACAGCCCGAAAGGGCUGCUAAUACCGGAUAUGCCUAUGGCCUCGCAUGGGGCUAUGAGCAAAGGGGAAACCCGCCUUGAGAUGGGCCCGCGUCCCAUCAGCUAGUUGGUGAGGUAACAGCUCACCAAGGCGACGACGGGUAGCCGGCCUGAGAGGGUGACCGGCCACACUGGGACUGAGACACGGCCCAGACUCCUACGGGGGGCAGCAGUGGGGGAUCUUGCACAAUGGGCGAAAGCCUGAUGCAGCGACGCCGCGUGAGCGAAGAAGGCCUUCGGUUGUAAAGCUCUGUCUGGAGGGACGAACAAAAUGACGGUACCUCCGGAGGAAGGCCACGGCUAACUACGUG